CGGCGCACCCAGUUAGAGCUCCUGCUCUGGGCCACUGAGACCAAAGAGAAAUGGUGUCAGCUGUGAGAAACUUGCUUAUCCUGGAAGCCCCAAGAGACGCAGCUCUGCUGAUGCAGCUAGACACAGCUCCGAAGACACCACAGGAAGCUUUGGAAGCACAAUAUACUUUGUGAAGAAAUUUGAAAACUUCAGUGCUACUUAGCAAGUUUCUUGGCAUUAGCAGUUAUCCAGGGACUCCCAGCGGGUAUCUACCCAGCUGGAGAAAGAAAUAUUCCAACAGGAAGGAAGAAACUCUCCAAUCUCACUGCAGGCCUGGAUAUUUGGAAAGAUCUCAUCACCAGACAGGGUGAAGGACACUGGACUUUGACUUUUGGACUCACAUAGCCAAUGGCUUGCUUGGCGUCUUCACAAAGAUAUCUAACAAGCAUCUCAACCCUAACAGAACUCUCGGUUCCUUCCCUCUCAUCCCCAACAUACGCCCCCACUAAUGUUCCCCAUUUC
rnacentral:lncRNA from 1 species